UUAAGCGACUAAGCGUACACGGUGGAUGCCCUGGCAGUCAGAGGCGAUGAAGGACGUGCUAAUCUGCGAUAAGCGUCGGUAAGGUGAUAUGAACCGUUAUAACCGGCGAUUUCCGAAUGGGGAAACCCAGUGUGUUUCGACACACUAUCAUUAACUGAAUCCAUAGGUUAAUGAGGCGAACCGGGGGAACUGAAACAUCUAAGUACCCCGAGGAAAAGAAAUCAACCGAGAUUCCCCCAGUAGCGGCGAGCGAACGGGGAGCAGCCCAGAGCCUGAAUCAGUGUGUGUGUUAGUGGAAGCGUCUGGAAAGGCGCGCGAUACAGGGUGACAGCCCCGUACACAAAAAUGCACAUAUUGUGAGCUCGAUGAGUAGGGCGGGACACGUGGUAUCCUGUCUGAAUAUGGGGGGACCAUCCUCCAAGGCUAAAUACUCCUGACUGACCGAUAGUGAACCAGUACCGUGAGGGAAAGGCGAAAAGAACCCCGGCGAGGGGAGUGAAAAAGAACCUGAAACCGUGUACGUACAAGCAGUGGGAGCACGCUUCGGCGUGUGACUGCGUACCUUUUGUAUAAUGGGUCAGCGACUUAUAUUCUGUAGCAAGGUUAACCGAAUAGGGGAGCCGAAGGGAAACCGAGUCUUAACUGGGCGUUAAGUUGCAGGGUAUAGACCCGAAACCCGGUGAUCUAGCCAUGGGCAGGUUGAAGGUUGGGUAACACUAACUGGAGGACCGAACCGACUAAUGUUGAAAAAUUAGCGGAUGACUUGUGGCUGGGGGUGAAAGGCCAAUCAAACCGGGAGAUAGCUGGUUCUCCCCGAAAGCUAUUUAGGUAGCGCCUCGUGAAUUCAUCUCCGGGGGUAGAGCACUGUUUCGGCAAGGGGGUCAUCCCGACUUACCAACCCGAUGCAAACUGCGAAUACCGGAGAAUGUUAUCACGGGAGACACACGGCGGGUGCUAACGUCCGUCGUGAAGAGGGAAACAACCCAGACCGCCAGCUAAGGUCCCAAAGUCAUGGUUAAGUGGGAAACGAUGUGGGAAGGCCCAGACAGCCAGGAUGUUGGCUUAGAAGCAGCCAUCAUUUAAAGAAAGCGUAAUAGCUCACUGGUCGAGUCGGCCUGCGCGGAAGAUGUAACGGGGCUAAACCAUGCACCGAAGCUGCGGCAGCGACGCUUAUGCGUUGUUGGGUAGGGGAGCGUUCUGUAAGCCUGCGAAGGUGUGCUGUGAGGCAUGCUGGAGGUAUCAGAAGUGCGAAUGCUGACAUAAGUAACGAUAAAGCGGGUGAAAAGCCCGCUCGCCGGAAGACCAAGGGUUCCUGUCCAACGUUAAUCGGGGCAGGGUGAGUCGACCCCUAAGGCGAGGCCGAAAGGCGUAGUCGAUGGGAAACAGGUUAAUAUUCCUGUACUUGGUGUUACUGCGAAGGGGGGACGGAGAAGGCUAUGUUGGCCGGGCGACGGUUGUCCCGGUUUAAGCGUGUAGGCUGGUUUUCCAGGCAAAUCCGGAAAAUCAAGGCUGAGGCGUGAUGACGAGGCACUACGGUGCUGAAGCAACAAAUGCCCUGCUUCCAGGAAAAGCCUCUAAGCAUCAGGUAACAUCAAAUCGUACCCCAAACCGACACAGGUGGUCAGGUAGAGAAUACCAAGGCGCUUGAGAGAACUCGGGUGAAGGAACUAGGCAAAAUGGUGCCGUAACUUCGGGAGAAGGCACGCUGAUAUGUAGGUGAAGUCCCUUGCGGAUGGAGCUGAAAUCAGUCGAAGAUACCAGCUGGCUGCAACUGUUUAUUAAAAACACAGCACUGUGCAAACACGAAAGUGGACGUAUACGGUGUGACGCCUGCCCGGUGCCGGAAGGUUAAUUGAUGGGGUCAGCGCAAGCGAAGCUCUUGAUCGAAGCCCCGGUAAACGGCGGCCGUAACUAUAACGGUCCUAAGGUAGCGAAAUUCCUUGUCGGGUAAGUUCCGACCUGCACGAAUGGCGUAAUGAUGGCCAGGCUGUCUCCACCCGAGACUCAGUGAAAUUGAACUCGCUGUGAAGAUGCAGUGUACCCGCGGCAAGACGGAAAGACCCCGUGAACCUUUACUAUAGCUUGACACUGAACAUUGAGCCUUGAUGUGUAGGAUAGGUGGGAGGCUUUGAAGUGUGGACGCCAGUCUGCAUGGAGCCGACCUUGAAAUACCACCCUUUAAUGUUUGAUGUUCUAACGUUGACCCGUGAUCCGGGUUGCGGACAGUGUCUGGUGGGUAGUUUGACUGGGGCGGUCUCCUCCUAAAGAGUAACGGAGGAGCACGAAGGUUGGCUAAUCCUGGUCGGACAUCAGGAGGUUAGUGCAAUGGCAUAAGCCAGCUUGACUGCGAGCGUGACGGCGCGAGCAGGUGCGAAAGCAGGUCAUAGUGAUCCGGUGGUUCUGAAUGGAAGGGCCAUCGCUCAACGGAUAAAAGGUACUCCGGGGAUAACAGGCUGAUACCGCCCAAGAGUUCAUAUCGACGGCGGUGUUUGGCACCUCGAUGUCGGCUCAUCACAUCCUGGGGCUGAAGUAGGUCCCAAGGGUAUGGCUGUUCGCCAUUUAAAGUGGUACGCGAGCUGGGUUUAGAACGUCGUGAGACAGUUCGGUCCCUAUCUGCCGUGGGCGCUGGAGAACUGAGGGGGGCUGCUCCUAGUACGAGAGGACCGGAGUGGACGCAUCACUGGUGUUCGGGUUGUCAUGCCAAUGGCACUGCCCGGUAGCUAAAUGCGGAAGAGAUAAGUGCUGAAAGCAUCUAAGCACGAAACUUGCCCCGAGAUGAGUUCUCCCUGACUCCUUGAGAGUCCUGAAGGAACGUUGAAGACGACGACGUUGAUAGGCCGGGUGUGUAAGCGCAGCGAUGCGUUGAGCUAACCGGUACUAAUGAACCGUGAGGCUUAACCUU
rnacentral:rRNA from 1 species